ensembl:lncRNA
GACUGAGUUCACGUCACCGCCGAGCAGCUGAGGCUUAUUAGCCCCUUGGAAAGGGUACACCUGGGGAAUGAGGAAAUUGUUAGGUCAAAGGCCAUUUUGUGCUAGACCACGGUGAUUAUUUACCCGAAGAAGGCCCCAGUGCAGUUUCUGCAGGAAAAAAUGAAGGGCCACAAGAAGGCGACUUGAAAAGGAAACGAGUUUCAGGAUGGUUCCAGGGCAGUCUCAGCGAGUCUCGGUCUCUGCUCCAAGGGCCCCUCAUCCCACAUCCAGGUGAGGGGCAGCCCUCGCCAGGACAGGCCAAGAAGCUGGACCUGAAACAAACACUCCCGGUGAUUCUGGACCUCGCCGUGAACAAUGCUGCCUGGAGGAGUUCUAAAAGGCCGGUGUGCAGGAUUAAACAUUGUUCCUGGCAGAUGAAUAACUCCACGGUACAUCUAAGACCUCCAAAGACAGGAUUCCAGUGCCCUGGCCCGAUGUUGGCGACAACAGCCCUGGAUAACCUGGAAGAACUCUUCAUGUUCGGGAAGCUGCUGAGCAGGCCCGGGAGACCCUCUCCAAGGACCCCAAAACAAGCUUUUCUCCUGAAGUAAUUAAUUCAUCAAUAUUGGAAGUGCUACAAACAUUUUCUCCCAAUCUGUCAUUUGUGUUGUAACCCUGAUGUUUUCCAUCAUACAUAAACUUCCAAUAUUCUGGGGUGGUAACAUCUGUUUAUCUUUUCCCUUACUAGAUCUUUCAGGUUUCAUGUUAUAUUUAAAACAGAGUUUCCCACACCGGAGGUAUAAUAAUCUCCUGUAUUUCCUUCAGUAAUUUUGUAGUUUAACUUCUUUGGUUUCUUCCCUCUGGAACGAAUUUUGGUGGAAACUGUGAGCGACAGAGCUAACUCUUACUUUGAGGGCCAGCUGUCUUAAAGUCCUAUUUAUUAAACAAUCCAUCUCUUUUCCCCACUUCAAAUACUUCUUUUAUCCCACUCAGUUCCCAUCUACCUGGGGGUCUGCUUCUGGACUCUGCCUUUUGUUCCAUCAGCCGGUCUGUCCGAGCACACCCCAGGUCCCAGGGGCCACUCCUGGGCGCUUGGGAGUCCUGGGGGCAGUGGUGCAGGACACGUGCCUUUUACCCCUCGCUGCUCUCCGCCCCGACUCACCAUCAUUCAGAAUUUGUUUAAUAUUCUCACAUAUUUACUCUUUCAAGUGAACUUGAGAACUCAUCAAAUUCCCAAAGCAUCCAAUCGUGCUGGAACACACUGACUCGUGGGCUGAUUCGGAGAGAACCGGAAUCUUCGCAGGGGCAUCGUGUCUACCGUCUGAGUCCACUCACAGAAUGGCCCGAGGUCCCCAGCUGACUCACUUAGAUUUUAUAGGUCGGCCGUGCUAUCGUCUGCAAACAAUGACAGCUGUAACCCCCUCUCCUUCACCUGCUCUCCUGCGGGGGUGACAGUGCCAGGACACUGCUAACUGGUGAUACGUCCUUGGCUACUUUCCGACUUGUAUGGGAAUGCCCAUGGUGUCGGACUCUUCAAAUGUCAUUAACUGCUGCUUUGUGAUAGACGUUUUUUAUCUAGAGUAGGAUGUUUCUUUGUAAUCUUAACUUACU